rnacentral:rRNA from 1 species
AUUGAACGCUGGCGGCAGGCCUAACACAUGCAAGUCGAGCGGAUGAAGGGAGCUUGCUCCUGGAUUCAGCGGCGGACGGGUGAGUAAUGCCUAGGAAUCUGCCUGGUAGUGGGGGAUAACGUCCGGAAACGGGCGCUAAUACCGCAUACGUCCUGAGGGAGAAAGUGGGGGAUCUUCGGACCUCACGCUAUCAGAUGAGCCUAGGUCGGAUUAGCUAGUUGGUGGGGUAAAGGCCUACCAAGGCGACGAUCCGUAACUGGUCUGAGAGGAUGAUCAGUCACACUGGAACUGAGACACGGUCCAGACUCCUACGGGAGGCAGCAGUGGGGAAUAUUGGACAAUGGGCGAAAGCCUGAUCCAGCUAUGCCGCGUGUGUGAAGAAGGUCUUCGGACUGUAAAGCACUUUAAGUUGGGAGGAAGGGCAGUAAGUUAAUACCUUGCUGUUUUGACGUUACCAACAGAAUAAGCACCGGCUAACUUCGUG